UUAUUCCAUGCUAAAAUCGAAUAUAAUUUCGAAUAUGAAUGUAAAAUAUAAAAAUUCAACCGUCCUUAGCACCCGUUUGGUUUGAAAUUAAGAGGUGGAAUAAUUUUUUAAUUCCGAAGUUAUUUUCAAACACUCAAUUUGAAGGGUGGGGUUAGCUAAUCCCACCCUAUCCUACUAUUCCAAUCAAAUAAAACACUAUUUUAUCCACUAUCCUUCUUAUCCCAUCUACUCCAACCAAACAUUAUUUUAUCUAUAUCUGGACUAAACCCAAUUCUCAACUAAACACAAAAUUAUUCUAGGCCCACCUUAACCCUAAACUUAACUCUAUCCCUGCAAUAACAAGUUUUUACUUAACCCCGAACCAAACGGUGGCUUAGAGUAAGUGACAAAGGGUUUAGUGGUUGGUACCGGAGACCCAAAUUCGAAUCCUAGUUGAUUCACAUUUUCAGCUAAGUUUAUUUUUAAAUGAAAUAAACAAAGUGGGUAGCGUGCUAUCUAUCUCUCUCAAAAAAAUAAAAAAUAAAAAUUUGGAUAUAAAUUUUAGAAAAUAUUUCAAAUAUUACUUCUGUAAUUUCAGUUAUUUUAUGGGAUAAACUUCAAAUACCACCCCUGUGAUUUCACAAUUUUUCACUUUAAUACCCCAUGGUUUAAAGUGUAUCAAAUUAGUGUCAUGUGAUUUUAUUUUUAUCUUUUCGUCAGUUUUUUCGUUAAUAUUUCGUUAAAUUUGUCACACCCCGGAUUACUAGUUUUUCCGGCACGCUGACAAAUCCGCCGUAUACAAAAAAAAUUUUCCUAUAUACGAAGCGAUAACUGUACCUGUAAUCAUACAAUACUACAACCAGUAGUAUAGAGCUGCUAAAAAUAAAAACAUAUAUAAAUACAAAAGCACUCGCUCAGGCGAGAGUCCAACAUAUGUAUGUAUAAGAACAAAAAACUACAACUACCUGUAGCUGGUAUACUCUAGAUCAACAGCAACUAGUAAGAGAUCUAACUCGUGACUCUCUUUCCACGAUCCGUGUCCACGACAGCAGCAGCCGAGGAAGAGGGCUCUACAAAAAGUCACCAGCUGGGUAUGAGAACUACUGCAAAAAGAAGUAGUCCUCAGUGGGUACCGCUACCGAUCUCAACGGCUCACCCACUAAGUCUACAGGAGUAAGCAGGGAUAGUAUAGAAAGUUGGAACAAAUCUACAGCUAAAUACCGCUAUACUAUCAUGAUCCAACACUAACAAUCUGUAGAAAAUGUAAAUUAUGACCCAAUUUCACUAGGAACUGUGAACUCACCCGUCCCGCCUGUCGAAGCUACACUAACUGUCACCACAUUAGGUUGUCAGUGGAGAGCAAGUCCAAACAGGACAAACCGACAUCAAUGCAAAAGCACUAAGCCCGACUUCGAAGUCACACUCGUGGACGUUAUCCAACCGAAUAUGCAAGCGUAUCUCUGCCGAGCUGAAUCAGGCUCUCACAGGCUGUAAUCAAAAUAGAAAGGUCUACUUGAUCUAACAACCAUAAUCUACGUGCCCUUGGCACAAUCCGAUGCAAAAAUAGUAAUUUGGGUUCACCGUCAACCCCAACGGCACCCGACAGUCCGAAACAGUCUAUACACUACUGUAAAAAUAAACUCGGCAUCUCAGCACGAGUGUAAAUGUAUUCUACACUAUUCUGCUAUCCACCGCCCACAAACUACGGCGAUACAAAUAAACUACGGCUCCUACAGCUAAAUCUGGUAGUUUCAGCAUAUGACUGUGUAGAAUCGCUAGUUUUUUUCUAAGUCAAUUUCAAGUCCAAUAUGUAUAAUUUAUCUAGCAUUUUAUGCUCCAAACUCAUAUUUCAAUAAGCAUGCAAAUCACUAGUUUGAGCUAAUUAACAUGAUAUACAAUAACCAAACAUACAUGCUGAUAAUAACUAGACUUAAGAGGAAAUCCGAAGAAUCCGGUAAGCAUCAUGAACCCACCUC
rnacentral:lncRNA from 1 species